rnacentral:tRNA from 1 species
GCGGACGUGGUGAAAUUGGUAGACACGCUAGAUUUAGGUUCUAGUGAGAUUAUCUUGUGAGAGUUCGAGUCUCUCCGUCCGCA